rnacentral:rRNA from 1 species
UACGAAGGGGGCUAGCGUUGCUCGGAAUUACUGGGCGUAAAGCGCACGUAGGCGGCUCUUUAAGUCGGGGGUGAAAUCCUGGAGCUCAACUCCAGAACUGCCUUCGAUACUGUAGAGCUUGAGUUCGGGAGAGGUGAGUGGAACUGCGAGUGUAGAGGUGAAAUUCGUAGAUAUUCGCAAGAACACCAGUGGCGAAGGCGGCUCACUGGCCCGAUACUGACGCUGAGGUGCGAAAGCGUGGGGAGCAAACAG